GCGGUGGUGCAGUGGGUAGCACUAUUGCCUUACAGGAAGAUGGUCAUGGGUUUGAAUCCUGUCUGGGGCA